GAGUUUGAUCAUGGCUCAGAUUGAACGCUGGCGGCAGGCCUAACACAUGCAAGUCGAGCGGAUGACGGGAGCUUGCUCCUUGAUUCAGCGGCGGACGGGUGAGUAAUGCCUAGGAAUCUGCCUGGUAGUGGGGGACAACGUUUCGAAAGGAACGCUAAUACCGCAUACGUCCUACGGGAGAAAGCAGGGGACCUUCGGGCCUUGCGCUAUCAGAUGAGCCUAGGUCGGAUUAGCUAGUUGGUGGGGUAAUGGCUCACCAAGGCGACGAUCCGUAACUGGUCUGAGAGGAUGAUCAGUCACACUGGAACUGAGACACGGUCCAGACUCCUACGGGAGGCAGCAGUGGGGAAUAUUGGACAAUGGGCGAAAGCCUGAUCCAGCCAUGCCGCGUGUGUGAAGAAGGUCUUCGGAUUGUAAAGCACUUUAAGUUGGGAGGAAGGGCAGUAAGUUAAUACCUUGCUGUUUGACGUUACCGACAGAAUAAGCACCGGCUAACUCUGUGCCAGCA
rnacentral:rRNA from 1 species